rnacentral:misc_RNA from 1 species
UGGCAUACCUCUUCAGUUAUGCGUCAUGACUUGUAUCGUCUUGAGCGUAUUGUGGGUUUCCUGUGUUGCAUACCUUUCUAAUGGUAUCGUGUGGAUUGAUCGAAGUCCCUUUUCAUCUUGUGUUGCUUUUUGUGACGCAUGAUGAACCUCGAGGCGGUCUCUAUGUUCCACCACGUUGAUGCUAGCGUUUUAAUGUUGUGGCCCAUUGAGUGUUGCUUGGUUUCGUGGAUACAGAACAUGAUUUGGGCAUAGGGUUACUUGUGACUCUUGUUUUGUCCUUUAUUUGUGUUCUUUAUAACGACGGUUCAUGCGCGCCUAGGCUCGUACCUGCGCGAUGUUCUUUGUCAAAGAGGAAUGCUACCUGGUUGAUCCUGCCAGUAGUCAUAUGCUUGUCUCAAAGAUUAAGCCA